UACGGGGGGGGCAAGCGUUGUUCGGAAUCACUGGGCGUAAAGGGUGCGUAGGCGGGGCUUUAAGUCAGGGGUGAAAUCCUGGAGCUCAACUCCAGAACUGCCUUUGAUACUGAAGAUCUUGAGUUCGGGAGAGGUGAGUGGAACUGCGAGUGUAGAGGUGAAAUUCGUAGAUAUUCGCAAGAACACCAGUGGCGAAGGCGGCUCACUGGCCCGAUACUGACGCUGAGGCACGAAAGCGUGGGGAGCAAACAGG
rnacentral:rRNA from 1 species